rnacentral:lncRNA from 1 species
AGAUUUGUUGCCUCGCUCAUAUGGAACUCCCUCUACCUCGUAGAGUGAUUCGCUGUCGGAGUCUGACUCGCUUUCAAGAGCAUGAUUCGCUGAGGUGGUUGCCUCGAGGCUGGCUGUGACCAGGACAACGCGACAGGUGAGCAAUCCUUGCCAUGAGCCUAAUUGGAUGUUUUUUAGAAUUCUGCAUAAUUCGGAUGUGACCAUACUCUAAAUCGAUUCAACUAGCUGUUAACAUACAUUCAAAUAGGCCUUUUAGCAGGCAAGAAUUUCCCUAGAAUUUUGGACAGAUGAAAACACUGAGUCCUUGUUUAGUUGGUGAAAAAAUUUGGGUUUGACAACUAUAGCACUUUUGUUUGUAUUUGACAAUUAUUAUCUAAUCAUGAACUAACUAGGCUCAAAAGAUUCGUCUCGCAAAUUACAGGCAAACUAUGCAAUUAGUUAUUUUUUAUCUAUAUUUAAUGCUCCAUGCAUGCGUUCAAAGAUUCGAUGUGACGGGAAAUCAUGAAAAAUUUUGGCAAUUUUUUGGGAACUAAACAAGGCUCCCACAGGAUUCAUGUGCAAACUGUAAUAAAUGGUUGAUGGUUGUGGUUCACAUAUCCAAUCAACAGUUAUUCACAAUUAGUCUACCAUUUGUACAGAGAUCACAUCAUCUGAUGAUGGUAUAGUUGAAUUCCAGUUUGUAUAGAUUGCAGGAGCAGGGCUGUAUGUUCCUUACCGGAGAUGGACGCUGUCCGCGACAUGACUGGGUUCGGCGUGCGGACGCUCCCAUACCACCAACUGCUGUCAUCCAUGGUGUUCUGCUCGUGCACAAACAUAUCUUUCGUUAACGAUGAAACCACAGGCAAGCGCAGCGAACUCUACCUAUCUUCUUUGUAAGCAGCAGAGAUGCAUUUCCAGUUGCAACAGCUGCUGCAACCGCAAUCAAUCACAUUGCUCGUGGCUGGCAGUGCUCACCGAUUCGGCGAAACCGACGCCGGGCGAGAACACCACGGCGCUCCCUCCGGGCUCGCCUGGUCCGCCGCACCCGUGAUUGCUACGCCCGGCGGCGGCGGCGCGGGCGUCGUCGUCGCCGC